CAGGGCUAGCUCUUCUUGGUUGUGUACGUACACUUCAUUCAGAGUUUGUGGUGCCACUGCUGCAUGCAUGUGACUGUCGAUCGACUUGCUUCAGUCGUUUGCCAUGUCAUGCUCUUUGCUGCAGAUCUCUUAUCAAUCUUUUAUCAUGGUAAAAAGCACCUUAAUAAUUAGUAAGGUACUUAACUGCCCAAAACUUCAGACUAGCUAGUCUACUCUGUCUUUUUUUUUUUUUUAGAAAAGGAGGAUGACCCCCGGCCUCUGCAUCUGGGAGAUGCAUACAGCCACUUUAUUGAUUAUUCUCAGGACCUUACAAAGUAUUACAACAAUGAGUCUGAAUCCACCAUCUUGGCAACACAUGCCGCUACUUCUAUCCAAAAUGAUGAAGGGGUGCUAGCUGGGCCACUACCCAAACCACUCACCUAAGCCUAACAUCAAAAGCUGGAAAUCGAAACAUAUUCUGUCUGUCUACUCUGUCUGUGUACAACUGGCUUAUUUUCCAGUUUAAAUACAAGUUUUCAGUGACACAUUUUAAAUGGACAUAUACUGUUGGAAUCUCAUGUAGGUCAUCUGUUCUGUUCGGCCUACUCCACGAGAAUGUCCAGUGGACGCAAUUUCAUCUAUUCAGAUCUUAGACUCCUUUGUUUUGAUAGAUAGUACUACAACGUUGGAUUUGGAUUUUGGAACUGCACAACACAGUAGCAGCAGGUCUGAAGAUCUGCCUCCUGUUUGUGCCCAAGUAGAGGUAUAUAAUAUGCUAGCUAGAAGCAUACUGUCGGUACAGCUAAUGCAAAUUGUUGUGUGUUACUUGAGUUUUGUUGAUGAAACUCCUUACAAGACAAAGACCGAACUGGUAAGAAGGUGUUGUUGAUUCAGGCUGUUUUUUGGCACUGACUACGCAGGCAAGCAAGAAGGUGUGGUUUUCUACUGUUCCAAGUUGUACCGUACCGAUGCAACAAGUUGUAGAACACUCACUCUCUUCCAAGGUUGCAGCAGUGAGGGAAACCCAUAUAUUGAGUUUACACUGGUAACUCAUCAAUCCGAAAUUGCUGCGAUGAGCAUCUAAUCAGGCGGGCCAAUCCGGCCUUGUCACCUUCACUCACAUGGUAUCUGCAGUGGCAGAGAAUUAAGGCCUGCUUCUUCAAGUCUUGAGCGUGAACGUCGCUAGCUGUUGGAGCUGCCGGCAGGCGGGGGAGUCCGACGAAGACCGGCGUCAUGCUGGCAUUGCCGGAGUGGCAAUGAAGUUCCAUCAUCAGCGUCAGUUAGCAAAGAACCCAGGAGGGGAGGGUGUCAUUUGCUGCAGCAUGCAGUUUGAGAUGGGUUUCUUGUUACUUUUCAGUUGUUUAGCAAUGUUUCAGUAGGAUAUACAAUUUGAUGAUUCUAUAUUAUAGUAUAUAGUAUUGCCAUA